GAUGAACGCUGGCGGCGUGCCUAAUACAUGCAAGUCGAGCGAACAGACGAGGAGCUUGCUCCUCUGACGUUAGCGGCGGACGGGUGAGUAACACGUGGAUAACCUACCUAUAAGACUGGGAUAACUUCGGGAAACCGGAGCUAAUACCGGAUAAUAUAUUGAACCGCAUGGUUCAAUAGUGAAAGACGGUUUUGCUGUCACUUAUAGAUGUAUCCGCACCGCAUUAGCUAGUUGGUAGGGUAACGGCUUACCAAGGCAACGAUGAGUAGCCGACCUGAGAGGACGACCGGCCACACUGGAACUGAGACACGGUCCAGACUCCUACGGGAGGCAGCAGUGGGGAAUCUUCCACAAUGGGCGAAAGCCUGAUGGAGCAAUGCCGCGUGAGUGAAGAAGGUCUUCGGAUCGUAAAACUCUUUAGCAAGGGAAGAAAACAUGCGAUAGAAUAAAUGCAGAGGUUGACGGUACCUAAACAGAAAGCAACGGCUAACUACGUG
rnacentral:rRNA from 1 species